CCUACGGGCGGCAGCAGUCGAGAAUUAUUCACAAUGGGGGAAACCCUGAUGGUGCGACGCCGCGUGGGGGAAUGAAGGUCUUCGGAUUGUAAACCCCUGUCAUGUGGGAGCAAAUUAAAAAGAUAGUACCACAAGAGGAAGAGACGGCUAACUCUGUGCCAGCAGCCGCGGUAAUACAGAGGUCUCAAGCGUUGUUCGGAAUCACUGGGCGUAAAGCGUGCGUAGGCUGUUUCGUAAGUCGUGUGUGAAAGGCGCGGGCUCAACCCGCGGACGGCACAUGAUACUGCGAGACUAGAGUGAUGGAGGGGGAACCGGAAUUCUCGGUGUAGCAGUGAAAUGCGUAGAUAUCGAGAGGAACACUCGUGGCGAAGGCGGGUUCCUGGACAUUAACUGACGCUGAGGCACGAAGGCCAGGGGAGCGAAAGGGAUUAGAUACCCGGGUAGUC
rnacentral:rRNA from 1 species